UACAGAGGUCUCAAGCGUUGUUCGGAUUCAUUGGGCGUAAAGGGUGCGUAGGCGGCGAGGUAAGUCGGAUGUGAAAUCUCAGGGCUCAACCCUGAAACUGCAUUCGAUACUGCCUUGCUCGAGGACUCGAGAGGAGAUUGGAAUUCACGGUGUAGCAGUGAAAUGCGUAGAUAUCGUGAGGAAGACCAGUGGCGAAGGCGGAUCUCUGGAGAGUUCCUGUCGCUGAGGCACGAAGGCCAGGGGAGCAAACGGG
rnacentral:rRNA from 1 species